rnacentral:rRNA from 1 species
GCGUACACAUUGAAAAACCCGGUUAUCGUCCGAUCAUCGAAGUUAAGCAAUGUCGAGCCCGGUCAGUACUUGGGAGGGUGACCACCUGGUGCUGUAGGCU